rnacentral:tRNA from 1 species
GACCCUGAGAUGAGCUCAGUUGAUCAGAGCAGGGUGCUAAUAAUGCCAGGGUUGUGGGUUUGAUCCCCAUUUGGGCCA